rnacentral:sRNA from 1 species
GAUUUGGGUAUCUACUUCGAUGAAAAAC